rnacentral:misc_RNA from 1 species
UACGAAGGGUGCAAGGGUUAUUCGGAAUUACUGGGUGUAAAGGGUGCGUAGACGGUUUGUUAAGUCCAUUGUUAAAGACCCCAGCCCAACUGGGGAACAGCAGUUGAAACUAACAGACUAGAGGAUGGAAGAGAGAAGUGGAAUUCUCGGAGUAGCGGUAAAAUGCGUAGAUCUCGAGAGGAACACCGAUGGCGAAGGCAGCUUCUUGGUCCAUAUCUGACGUUGAGGCACGAAAGCGUGGGGAGCAAACAGG